rnacentral:tRNA from 1 species
GGAAGGGUGCCGGAGUGGUUUAACGGCCAGGUCUCGAAAACCUUGGUUCGACGCUGAGUCGAAACGCGGGUUCGAAUCCCGCCCCUUCCGCAA